UCGGGGGACAAAGUGACAGGUGGUGCAUGGUUGUCGUCAGCUCGUGUCGUGAGAUGUUGGGUUAAGUCCCGCAACGAGCGCAACCCUUAAGCUUAGUUGCCAGCAUUAAGUUGGGCACUCUAAGUUGACUGCCGGUGACAAACCGGAGGAAGGUGGGGAUGACGUCAAAUCAUCAUGCCCCUUAUGAUUUGGGCUACACACGUGCUACAAUGGACAAUACAAAGGGCAGCUAAACCGCGAGGUCAUGCAAAUCCCAUAAAGUUGUUCUCAGUUCGGAUUGUAGUCUGCAACUCGACUACAUGAAGCUGGAAUCGCUAGUAAUCGUAGAUCAGCAUGUUACGGUGAAUACGUUCCCGGGUCUUGUACACACCGCCCGUCACACCACGAGAGUCUGUAACACCCGAAGCCGGUGGAGUAACCAUUUAUGGAGCUAGCCGUCGAAGGUGGGACAAAUGAUUGGGGUGAAGUCGUAACAAGGUAGCCGUAUCGGAAGGUGCGGUUGGAUCACCUC
rnacentral:rRNA from 1 species